GGACCAUUAGCUCAAUUGGAUAGAGUAUCUGACUACGGAUCAGAAGGUUGGGGGUUCGACUCCCUCAUGGUUCA
rnacentral:tRNA from 1 species